GAUAUAAAGGUGGUGCCUCAAAAUUAUUGGUUAAACGGGAAACUGGUAGUUAUUAAAAAUCCAGUGCUGCCCUCGCAACGGUAAUAGAAGGGAUAACAGAUGAAGCCACUGCUUAAUCGUGGGAAGGCGCUAUUUAUCCACUGUAAACUUCUUGAGCCCGGAUACCGGCCAUAGCAAUC
rnacentral:ncRNA from 1 species